GGGCGCAGCCGACCACGGUCGGGUCAGCGACUGGGGUGAAGUCGUAACAAGGUAGCCGUAGGGGAACCUGCGGCUGGAUCACCUCCUUUCAAGGAUGGUUUUUGAGAUAAGAUUGGGUAACUGAUCUUGCUUGAAGACUUCCGAAAUAAAAGUCCUUUACUUUGGAUCAGUGAAGGCAACGUUCUGUCAGGUGUCUGUUCGGCUUAGCCGACGGGAGCGCCGUCAACAUAUCCCUUUCUGCGAUAGUGGCCGUCAUGGUUGCUUUGGCUUCGCCGGUUUGUUCUGGUUUGAGGCUUGAGUGAUAUGACGGUCGGGUUUGGGCUAGUAGCUCAGUUGGUUAGAGCACACGCUUGAUAAGCGUGGGGUCGGAGGUUCAAGUCCUCCCUGGCCCACCACUGGCCGUGCUGCGCGAGCAGCAUUCUGGUUUUGGGGGCAUAGCUCAGCUGGGAGAGCACCUGCUUUGCAAGCAGGGGGUCGUCGGUUCGAACCCGUCUGCCUCCACCAAAAACCAGAUGACGCCUGAAUGUCAGAGCGUCCGGUAAGUGGUGUGAGACGAACUAUCGCAAGGGAGUGUAGAGAUCGGACACUUCGUUUUAUGGACUGCGGUGCAGCCUGAGACGGUGAUGUCUGGUAGUUGAUCUUUGUCAGUGUGAAUCGGUUGGUGCGUAUCUGUGCGUGCUGUUUUUCUGUGGGUUGUCUGACCCUCAGAUCCUGCGAGAGAUUUCAGGGUCUGUGAAAGCAGAAAUCAGCGUUAGCGACCAGAUGCGUUUUUAAAGAGAGAACGUGUGACGUGCUCGGAUGCACCAUGCGGGAACUCGGACGUGUCACUUUGUGGCAUGGAUGGUUUCUGUGCAUGGGGCGAGUGAGCGCGAUAAGGGCAUUCGGUGGAUGCCUUGGCACCAGGAGGCGAUGAAGGACGUAGCACGCUGCGAAAAGCUACGGGGAGCCGCGAGCAGGCUUUGAUCCGUAGAUAUCCGAAUGGGGCAACCCACCCGCAAGGGUAUCGUAGUCUGAAUACAUAGGACUAUGAGGCGAACCCGGGGAACUGAAACAUCUCAGUACCUGGAGGAAAAGACAUCAAUUGAGAUUCUGCUAGUAGUGGCGAGCGAACGCGGAACAGGCCAGUGGUCUUUGGAAGAGAAGCAGAACACUCUGGAAAGGGUGGCCAUAGUGGGUGAUAGUCCCGUAUGCGUAGCGCUUCUGAAGAUCCUUGAGUAGGGCGGGGCACGUGAAACCCUGUCUGAACAUGGGGGGACCACCCUCCAAGCCUAAAUACUCCCUG
rnacentral:sRNA from 1 species